rnacentral:rRNA from 1 species
UACGGGGGGGGGCAAGCGUUGUUCGGAAUUACUGGGCGUAAAGGGCGCGUAGGCGGCCUUCUAAGUCAGACGUGAAAUCCCCAGGCUUAACCUGGGAACUGCGUCUGAUACUGGAUGGCUUGAAUUCGGGAGAGGGAUGCAGAAUUCCAGGUGUAGCGGUGAAAUGCGUAGAUAUCUGGAGGAAUACCGGUGGCGAAGGCGGCAUCCUGGACCGACAUUGACGCUGAUGAGCGAAAGCUAGGGGAGCAAACGGG